rnacentral:lncRNA from 1 species
CCUCAGGGGAGCUAAAGAAGGGCCUUCGCUUCGAAGUUUCCUCCAUGUUCAUCAUCGAUCUUGCUCCUCCUCCUUCACAAAUUCAAACGAACAACUGCUGUCAAUAAUCGAAUGAGGUAUUCAUAUUCAAAUUGGUUCUCAUGUGUGUGUAUGUGUGUUCCUAACGUUUUAUACACAAAAACAGGGGAAAUUCACCGAAAAGUAAUGUGUUCCAAGAUGAUGAAAUAAGAUUAAGAGAGUGAGAAAAGAACCUUGGACGACGGGAUUGAGAUUCCCAAGGAAGAACAUGCUGUUGCCGUGUGAAGCAGAUGGAUCGAAGAAAAACGAAUUGGAUUCCAUUUUUGAUCAACAGAAAUAAAACAACAACUACUUC